AUGGCAGCCGUUCUAGCAUCUUUGCUUGGAUCAUGUGCCAGUAAGUUGAAAGAUAUCAUUAUUGAUAAGGCCAUACUAAUCCUAGGGGUGGAAGAAGAACUCAGAGAAAUGAUGCGGCGGGUAGAACUGAUACAAUGUUGCAUAUAUGAUGCUGAGAAACGGGGGACAAAAGAGCAAGCAGUAAACAAUUGGCUUGGCCAACUGAGAGAUGUUAUAUAUGAUGUUGAUGAAAUCUUGGACGUGGCUAGAUGUAAAGGAAGCAAGCUACUGCCUGGUGAUCCUUCUUCAUCAUCAAGCAAAUCAGCUGCACUUAAAUGCCUUUCAGUUUCCUCUUACUUUUGUCACAUUGGGUCACGUCAUGAUGUUGCUGUUCAGAUUAGAAGCCUCAGCAAGAAGAUAGAAAACAUUUCAAAGGACCAGAUAUUUUUAACAUUCAACAGUAGUACACAAACUACUGGAAAUGCUCCAACAUCAAAAAUGAUCAGAAGUUCCAACCUAGUUGAGCCCAACCUUGUGGGGAAGGAUAUUAUACAUUCUAGCAGGAAGUUGGUGGACUUAGUGCUUGUGCACAAGGGAAAUAAGUCUUAUAAGAUCGCUAUUGUUGGAACAGGAGGAGUUGGUAAGACAACACUAGCUCAAAAAAUAUACAACGAUCAGAAAAUAAAAGGAAGCUUCAAGACACAUGCAUGGAUUUGUGUUUCACAAGAGUACAAUGGAGUAACUCUUCUGAAAGAGGUUCUCCGAAAUAUUGGUGUGCACAGUGAGCAAGGCGAGAGCAUAACAGAGCUGCAGAGAAAGCUUGCGGAAAUAAUUAAAGGCCAGAGUUUCUUUCUCGUUCUGGAUGAUGUGUGGCAUUCCAAUGUAUGGACAGAUUUACUAAGACCUGCAUUGGAUGGAACAACUGCCGGAGUAAUAUUGGCAACCACACGAGAUGAUCAAUUUGCAAACAGAAUAGGUGUACAAUAUACCCAUCGAGUUGAUCUCAUAUCAGUGGAGGUGGGAUGGGAGCUACUCCCUCCGUUCCAAAUUACUCGUCUCAGAAAUGGAUGUAUUUAG
rnacentral:rRNA from 1 species